AUAAAAUAAGCUGCAGUGAAACCAUAAAUGUUACCACUCGUUCCACUUACUUCCACAGUCUGAAACAAAAAAAGGGAACAUUUGUGCUGCUUUCAGCUGAAAGCACGCAGACAACUCCUUAUUAUUUACAGGGCAAAAUGAGCAUGCUAAUGCCCUACCGAGCACUCUCUGACUUCAGGACAUAGCGCAGAGAACUGGCUGCAUCAUUUGGUCAAGCUCUACAAUGUUUGCCUUCAUUCUUUCACUAAGUAAAGAGAGAGACAUUCAUCCAGCAAAGAUUUAUGGAAAGAAGACUUUUAAAGAGGGAGGAAAACUGCAGAUCACAUGUAGCACGUUUGGUCCCGAGACAGAAUGCGAGGAAGUUGUUAAUUAUCUGUGUAGGGAUGGUAUUGGAAUAGAGAAGAAAAUAUCAAGGGAACGGGAUGUUCUUUUUAGCAUAGAUGGAAUAACAAAGGACUUUACAGGCAAUUACAGUUGCGUCUACUCAAAAACGGAGUACAGUGUUGAAGAAGUACGAGGACAAGGCUUCGAGUCCAUCUUCAUUACAGUGAAUGAUUCGUUUAUCCCUGCAAAUAUAACAUUGCCUGAGAUAAGCGUGAAAGAAGGAGCUGAUGUGGAUUUCAAGUGUACCUCUUCGAAAUUACCUGACAAUGAUCAGAACAACAUUUAUGCCUAUCUGUGCAAGAAUGGAACUGUUAUUCAGUUGAACAUCUGGAACACAGAGAAGAUGGAGACAAUCUUUACCCUAAAAAAAGUCAGUAAGACAGAUUCUGGAUCAUAUGCCUGUGGCCUGAUGGCAGAUAUACAGCCUAUACCGAAAACAAGAGUGAAUGGAAUUAACCAAGUAAACCUUCAUAUUACUGAAAACGUGAAUGACGCAGUAAGAAUUGUGGUGGGCUGUUCUAUUGCGCUCCUGCUUAUACUUUGCUUUCUGGGCCUUUAUGGAGUCGUUGAAAAGCAAGGAUGGUGCAGAUGCCACAGUGAAAGAUCGACUGAACAUGGCGCUGAAGCAAGAGGAGGAGACUUUUUAAGCCAAGGACAUAUUUCAUACACAAAUCAAAUGCAAAACCAGCCCAGAUUCAGAAGCGCUGCAGAAUGGGAUGAUUUCUCUGACAGCAGUGAGAACGAUCAUGCAUCAAAUGAGGAUUUAUAUCAGGUGUGUGAAGACGUGUAGAAAACCCUACCAGCAGUGAUAUCUAUGCAGCACUUCAGAAGACUACAAAGACCAAAGAGAGACAUUACAUUUUUUUUUAUCACAUUUUAUUACUACAUUUAUUUUUUUCACACUGCUAACAUGUCCUGCAUGCACACUAUUGUAAACAUUUAAUAAAAGUGAAGGCUCCAGUUCACCCCACAAUGUUAUGGAAAUCUUGUUGGUUUGCAAAGAAAUUAUAUGGGGAAAAACAUUAGUUCUUUGUUGAUAACAGUCCCUUUUAUUUAGCGAUAUUAAUUCCACAUGUAACAUAUCUGAUUGAGGUGAUCAAACCUUCAGGAACAUUUGAGUGUAAGAAUUUAGUAGAUCUGAUCAUAACAGUAAUAAAGCUAUGCAGGAGUAUGGUUGGGGUUCCUAAUGAUAAGCUUAGACUACUGCUGCAAACAUUUAGUCAAACGCUUUCAUUCUGUGUUAAUGAACCUAUUACUGGCGAUUAUCUAUUGAAAAAUAAAAUGUUGAUUUUUUCAUGUUAAUGUUUACAAAGUUAGUGUAACUUUUAGAUUGUAGUGUAACCUGGUUCUUGAUGGUGAAAGAUACCAACAGUCCUGUAAAUAAAGUACAUCAAAACAAUAAAUAUAAAGUACUGUGCAAAAGUCAGAGACCACCC
ensembl:lncRNA